rfam:Candidatus Accumulibacter sp. BA-91 contig000682, whole genome shotgun sequence.
GCCGCGCCUAUCCCGACGGGGAGAAAACCGGGAACCCUUCACCCGGCUGGCGCGGCACCCCAAACGAAGG